ACACAAACGAUGACAGGGACAGUACAAUUGUUCAACGUCUUAUUAUAAUAAGCGAACCAAGGAUAGUGGAAGCUUGGUAUAAGCGAAUAAUUGGAAAAUCACCCUAGAGUUCUUGUAUUGAACAUCAAGUUGGUAAGUAGAUACAAGCGAUUCAUUCACGAUACGAAUGUGUAAGUGGAUAUCCAUUAAUGAUAUCUAUUAGGGUGGUACCGCGGGAAAGCCUUCUCGUCCCUUCC
rnacentral:ncRNA from 1 species